rnacentral:rRNA from 1 species
GACGAACGCUGGCGGCGUGCCUAAUACAUGCAAGUAGAACGCUGAAGAGAGGAGCUUGCUCUUCUUGGAUGAGUUGCGAACGGGUGAGUAACGCGUAGGUAACCUGCCUUGUAGCGGGGGAUAACUAUUGGAAACGAUAGCUAAUACCGCAUAACAAUGGAUGACCCAUGUCAUUUAUUUGAAAGGGGCAAAUGCUCCACUACAAGAUGGACCUGCGUUGUAUUAGCUAGUAGGUGAGGUAACGGCUCACCUAGGCGACGAUACAUAGCCGACCUGAGAGGGUGAUCGGCCACACUGGGACUGAGACACGGCCCAGACUCCUACGGGAGGCAGCAGUAGGGAAUCUUCGGCAAUGGGGACAACCCUGACCGAGCAACGCCGCGUGAGUGAAGAAGGUUUUCGGAUCGUAAAGCUCUGUUGUAAGUCAAGAACGAGUGUGAGAGUGGAAAGUUCACACUGUGACGGUAGCUUACCAGAAAGGGACGGCUAACUACGUG